GAUGAACGCUGGCGGCGUGCUUAACACAUGCAAGUCGAACGAAGCACUUUAUUUGAUUUCCUUCGGGACUGAUUAUUUUGUGACUGAGUGGCGGACGGGUGAGUAACGCGUGGGUAACCUGCCUUGUACAGGGGGAUAACAGUUGGAAACGGCUGCUAAUACCGCAUAAGCGCACGGCAUCGCAUGAUGCAGUGUGAAAAACUCCGGUGGUAUAAGAUGGACCCGCGUUGGAUUAGCUAGUUGGUGAGGUAACGGCCCACCAAGGCGACGAUCCAUAGCCGACCUGAGAGGGUGACCGGCCACAUUGGGACUGAGACACGGCCCAAACUCGUACGGGAGGCAGCAGUGGGGAAUAUUGCACAAUGGGCGAAAGCCUGAUGCAGCGACGCCGCGUGAGCGAAGAAGUCUUUAGGUAUGUAAAGCUCUAUCAGCAGGGAAGAUAAUGACGGUACCUGACUAAGAAGCACCGGCUAAAUACGUG
rnacentral:rRNA from 1 species